GAGGGAGACACGCUCGACACGCACUGGCUCAAGCCGGGCCUGGUCCCGAGCGUUGGUAUCUGAGCGUUUCGUAACCGUACUUAGCCAGGUGGCCUCAAAGCGGUCUGGUGGGAGGUUUUGGAUGGAACUAUCUUGGCAAAAGCUGGACAAUGUUCCUUUAUUUGAAACACAUAUCUGGAAACAUCAUUAGUUCAGACAUUAAAAAUAAACUACUAGGAGUUGUGUGAGCAAGUCAGUCAAAAUUUCAGCAUGGCUGGCAAAGGGACUCCUGAGGCGCCAGCCAUAACUCGGGAGCUAUGGAGAGUUGAGAGCUGCUGAAGAAAUGAAAGUCACUUUCUUUGUGGAUGUGGUUGAACCCCAGUGGGUGGCCUCACACCCACAUACAUGUGGCCAACAACAACUAGACUCAGGGGCUGAACAGAUGGGUCAGUGGUUAAGGACACACUGCUCUUUCCAAGGACCCAAGUUUGACUCCCAGCACCAACGUUGAGUGCCUCACAACUCUGUAACUCCAGCUCCAGGGAAAUCUCCCAUUUCUGUCCUCGUCUGUGUUACUUGUAUACAAUUCACACGGACAUAUACAUAUAUACACAUAUACACAUAU
rnacentral:lncRNA from 1 species